rnacentral:rRNA from 1 species
AACGAACGCUGGCGGCAUGCCUAACACAUGCAAGUCGAACGAGACCUUCGGGUCUUGUUGCGCUCGGGUGCGUACCGCGUGGGAACCUGCCCUUAGGUUCGGAAUAACUCCCCGUGGGGGAUCCUAAUACCGGUUAAUGUCUUCGGACCAAAGAUUUAUCGCCGUUGGAUGGGCCCGCGUUGGAUUCGCGGGUUGGUAGGGUACAAGCCUGCCAUGGCCUGGAUCCUUAGCUGGUCUGAGAGGAGGAUCAGCCACACUGGGACUGCGACACGGCCCAGACUGGGACGGAAGGGAGCAGUGGGGAAUAUUAGACGCGGGACGCAAGUGUGACACAGCCGCGCGGGGGGAGUGGUGAUGGCGUUAGGGUUGUAAAGUUCUUUUACCCGGGAUGAGAGUGACGGUACCGGGAGAAGAAGCACCGGCUAACUACGUG